rnacentral:rRNA from 1 species
GAUGAACGCUGGCGGCGUGCCUAAUACAUGCAAGUCGAGCGGACGCACGGGAAGCUUGCUCCUACGAUGUAAGCGGCGGACGGAAGAGUAACAUGUGGAUAACCUACCUCUAAGACUCGGAUACUAUCGGGAAACCGGCGCUAAUACCGGAUAAUAUUCUGACCAGCAUGGUUCAAAAGUGUAAGACGCUCUUGCUGUCACUUAUAGAUGGACACGCGCUGCAUUAGCAAGUUGGCUAGGUAACGGCUUAACAAGGCAACGAUGCAUACCCGACCUGAACGGGUGAUCGACCACACGGGAACUGAGACUCGGUCCAGACUCCGACGGGAGGCAGCGGUAGGGAAUCUUCCGCGAUGGGCGAGAGCCUGACAGAGCAACGCCGCGUGAGUGAUGAAGGACUUCGGAUCGUAGAGCUCUGUUAUUAGGGGAGAACAUAUGUGUAAGUGACUGUGCACAUCUUGACGGUACCGAAACAAAAAGCCACGGCUAACUUCGUG